CAGUAGCCACGGGAAUACGAAGGGGGCUAGCGGUGUUCGGAAUUACUGGGCGUAAAGCGCACGUAGGCGGCUUGGUAAGUUAGAGGUGAAAGCCCGGAGCUCAACUCCGGAAUUGCCUUUAAGACUGCCGAGCUAGUAGGUGAGAGAGGUAAGUGGAAUUCCGAGUGUAGAGGUGAAAUUCGUAGAUAUUCGGAAGAACACCAGUGGCGAAGGCGACUGACUGGACAAGUAUUGACGCUGAGGUGCGAAACCGUGGGGAGCAAACAGGAUUAGAUACCCGUGUAGUCCCUGUCUCUUAUAC
rnacentral:rRNA from 1 species